ensembl:snRNA U6 U6 spliceosomal RNA
GGGCUCGCUUCGGCAGCACAUGCACUAAAACUGAACGGUACAGAGGAGAUCAGCCCGGCCCCUGCGCAAGGACGACACGCAAAUUCGUGAAGCGUUCCCUAUUAAA